rnacentral:rRNA from 1 species
UGGGGAAUUUUGGACAAUGGGGGCAACCCUGAUCCAGCCAUGCCGCGUGAGUGAAGAAGGCCUUCGGGUUGUAAAGCUCUUUCGGCCGGGAAGAAAUCGCACGGGCUAAUACCCUGUGUGGAUGACGGUACCGGAAUAAGAAGCACCGGCUAACUACGUGCCAGCAGCCGCGGUAAUACGUAGGGUGCAAGCGUUAAUCGGAAUUACUGGGCGUAAAGCGUGCGCAGGCGGUUAUGCAAGACAGAGGUGAAAUCCCCGGGCUCAACCUGGGAACUGCAUUUGUGACUGUAUAGCUAGAGUACGGCAGAGGGGGAUGGAAUUCCGCGUGUAGCAGUGAAAUGCGUAGAUAUGCGGAGGAACACCGAUGGCGAAGGCAAUCCCCUGGACCUGUACUGACGCUCAUGCACGAAAGCGUGGGGAGCAAACA